GACGAACGCUGGCGGCGUGCCUAAUACAUGCAAGUCGAGCGAAUCAUUAGGAGGUUGCUCCUGAUGGUUAGCGGCGGACGGGUGAGUAACACGUGGGCAACCUGCCUGUAAGACUGGGAUAACACCGGGAAACCGGUGCUAAUACCGGAUAAUUCUUUCCCUCACAUGAGGGAAAGCUGAAAGUCGGUUUCGGCUGACACUUACAGAUGGGCCCGCGGCGCAUUAGCUAGUUGGUGAGGUAACGGCUCACCAAGGCGACGAUGCGUAGCCGACGUGAGGGGGGGAACGGCCACACGGGGACGGAGACACGGCCCAGAGUCCGACGGGAGGCAGCAGUAGGGAAUCUUCCGCAAUGGACGAAAGUCUGACGGAGCAACGCCGCGUGGGUGAUGAAGGCCUUCGGGUCGUAAAACUCUGUUGUUAGGGAAGAACAAGUAUCGGAGUAACUGCCGGUACCUUGACGGUACCUAACCAGAGAGCCACGGCUAACUACGUGCCAGCCGCCGCGGUAAUAC
rnacentral:rRNA from 1 species